rnacentral:lncRNA from 1 species
UUCCCAGCCCAGGGCAUCCUUCUUGAAGGAGAAAGUUGUUUCUCUGGAUUGGAAGCAGUCACAGAGGUUGCUAAGCAUAAACAGAUGCCAUACUCUGGAGAAGCAACCACGCUGUUACAUGUCAGGAAACUGCAGAUGACCACUCACUACCAAAAAUACAGGUCUAGCCGGUACUUUUGCUAAAUGACAGAAAAAAUGUCCUAAGAGAUUGGUUCUCAACCUGUGGGUCCUAACCCCUUUGGGGUCAAAUGACCCUUUCACAGGAAUCACCUAAGACUAAAAGAAAAUAUAGAUAUCUAUAUUAUGAUUCAUAACGUUAGCAACAUUACUGUUACAAGUAAACAACAAAAAUAAUUUUUAUGUCUGGGCAUGGUGGCACAUGCCUUUAAUCUCAGAACUUGGGAGGCUGAUGCAGGCAGAUCUCUGUGAAUUUGAGGCCAGCCUGGUCUACAAUGCCAGAAGCUUGGCUAAGACUGUGAUGUCUAUGAUCAGUGCCAAAAUCUCAUCUAGAACACCGUGGAGAAGCAUUGAUGGCUUCUGUAGAUUGCAGACAGUUGAGCACAAUAGUAUAUUCAAAAUCUUUGGGAUGCAUUUCUCUUUGAUCCUUUGGCAUAGGAAGUUAGUUGUUAGUGUUUUUUUCAUCCGAGCAGGAGAGAGGAUGGCAUUAGUCAAUGGUUGAGUUGGGCUGAGUACCUUAGAUGGAGCCUUUUACUGUGCUCCAUCACUUUCUAGAUGCCCAGUACUCACACACGAGUGCUCAAGCUUCUUGCUAGAAGGGAGGGUAUCAAAGAUGCUGCACACUGUAUCCCACUGGGAGGGUGAUAUACUCACCAAGAUCCUUCUUACCUCUUACACAGGGAUGAACAGUUGGCUCUUUGUUCUCAUUCCUUCCUAACCAAUAGACACUUUGUAGUGAAAACACCACAUGGAGACGUUUGAAGCCCAGUCAUGAGGAGAUCUGUUUACUGUGUCCUUAAGCCUUUAAGGACAUGGAGAGGGUACUAGACACAUGUGUGAUACAUAUGUGCUAGUCAUGAGUCACUGGAAGAAGCUUGGAAGCCCCCCUCUCUUUGGAAUUAUGUUUUAUUCAUAGAAAGAAGCUAGAGUGUAUACUUACUUUUAGCAUGCUUAGCCUAAGUACCUUUCUGUGCAUGAUAGUGUGGUUAUGCCUUGCUUUGACAUUGUGCUGGCUUUUUACCUUUCAUUAACUUUCUUGUGUGCCCACAUUCUGCCUCUGGCUUUAUCCCUUGCCAGCUGUGUUGGUACAGAACACAGUGCACAAGCACUCUGCUAUUUCCUGAUUUGCUAGAAGUAGAAAUUAACCUAACUGUUUCAUAGGGCUCUGGUGAGAAGUCAAUGGACUAGUGUUGCUGAAACACUAGGAAGCUAUUUUCUGCAUGCCAAGUGAUAAUUAUACUAUAGUGUUUGGUUCUUUUUAUUUGACCCACCUUUUCCUUUGAAACCCAAUUCAGGGUUGGAUGCAGUUUGCUUCUCUGUCCAUUAGAAGGCGUUAUGUUCAAAGAUAUUGCCCUACUACCUCCAGACAGUGGUAUUUGUGGUAGGUGUAUUCUCCUGUGGUAAGACUCCGGAAAAUUACUGGACUAUUUUACUGCCUUCCUGAAAACCCCUUCUGUUUUAAACACCAUAGGGCACAACUGUCCACCUGUGACUUGGUAGAAAGAGACCGAGUAGAAAGAGAGGGUGGCUCCAGGUCAGAAGUACAGAGCUGUGGGGGUUUUGAGCAGGUGAAAAGUUGACUGGAAAAUUGUACCAUCAAUAUGAGCAGACAGGCUAAUGAAGGCCUGCAAUCUGAAGGUGCCUAUCUGUCUUACUCCUCUGCCUUCACAGGAGACAGCAUAUGCUAAUCAGGAUGCCCCUAGACUAGACCAGGGCAAGCUGUGGAGGAGGCUACAUUUAAAUUUGGUGGGAAUUUUCUCAACUUUGAUCAAAUGAUGUCCUUUCAGCCUUUCAAAUCUCUAUGGACAAAGCACAAAGGCUAGGUACAAAGAGAACUUAAAUGGAAUUGGUCAGAUCAUGAAAGAAAAAGAAAGAAAGAGAACUUGAAUAAUAUAGUUAAAGUAAGUGUAAGCAUAUGUUGAAGUAUCACAGUGAAACCUCUCUUUUUAUAGAAUUAAUAUAUGCCAUUCAAAAUAAAUAGUACAUGCUGGGCAUGGUGGUACACACCUGUAAUUCUAGCACUCAGGAGGCGGGUGGAUCUUUCUCUCUGAGUUCAAAGCCAGCAUAGUCUAUAUAGUAAGUUCCAGGGAAUCCAGGGGAAUGUAGUGUGAACAAAACAUAUAUUUUGUUCAUAAAGAAUAAUACUUGACUAUUGAGAACCUCCAGAGAGGACACCUCUGACUUUUUCUCUAGAUCAGGGCAAUAAAGUCAACAAGAGAUAAUUCAAUUCCCCCUGGCUACUCUCUAUCUCUAUGCUCUUUUCCAUCCCAUAUUCUCAGAGCACGAGAGUGCUCACCUGUGCAUCUGUGUAGUGGACCACACACAUGUGACUGCUUUGAGAACUGGAGGGAUUCUGGGUAACAGAGCUGACAGUGACUGCAGAGCUAGCGCGUUCAGUCAGUGUCAUUCCGCAAGUCCUCUUAGUUUGGGCUCAUUUGUUACGAGUCGAGGCAAUCAGCUGAGAUGUGUCAUUCUUUUUCCAUUCUGAGACGUCUGAAGACUAUGACCCUAACUUGAGGGAUCAUCAAAGCUUUUUUGAACCAAGGGAAACCUCAGAGAAGCUUUUAGAUCCAAAUCCUGCAUUUUACAGUGGAAAAGGGAAUUCAAGUCAAAGAGGCGUUUGUCCUAGGUCAUGUGGAAUGGUGACAGUUCUGAUGGCCUUCACAUCCAUCUUACAUUUAAGCAUAGAGAAAAGAGCCUUGUAGUGUACUCCCCUACCUCUAGCGCCCUAUCCUAUUAGACCCUGGGAAUGGCCUCCCUCAUUAGCUCAUCAGGAUUCGUGAAGAAGUCACAUGAGAAUAUGGAGGAGGUUUUGUUAUGGCCUCAACUCACCUCGCUCUUGCUUAUGAUUACCCCUACGUCAUCCCUGCCCCCCUUCUCUGAGGUUUUAAAACAGUUUUAUGUACAUGGAUGUUUGCCUAUAUCCUGGCUAGUUUUAUGUCAACUUGACACAAGCUAGAGUCAUUUGGGAAGGGACACUUCUAAAUUGGG